UACGUAGGGGGCAAGCGUUGUCCGGAUUUAUUGGGCGUAAAGAGCGUGUAGGCGGUCAUGCAGGUCCGUUGUGAAAACUGGAGGCUUAACCUCCAGACGUCGAUGGAAACCGUAUGGCUAGAGUCCGGAAGAGGAGAGUGGAAUUCCUGGUGUAGCGGUGGAAUGCGCAGAUAUCAGGAAGAACACCAACGGCGAAGGCAGCUCGCUGGGACGGUACUGACGCUGAGACGCGAAAGCGUGGGGAGCGAACAGG
rnacentral:rRNA from 1 species